UCCGGUUGAUCCUGCCAGAGGUUACUGCUAUCGGUGUUCGCCUAAGCCAUGCGAGUCAUAUGUUCUUCGUGAACAUGGCGUACUGCUCAGUAACACGUGGAUAACCUGCCCUUGGGUCUGGGAUAACCCCGGGAAACUGGGGAUAAUACCGGAUAACGCAUAUAUGCUGGAAUGCUUUAUGCGUAAAAUGGAUUCGUCUGCCCAAGGAUGGGUCUGCGGCCUAUCAGGUAGUAGUGGGUGUAAUGUACCUACUAGCCUACAACGGGUACGGGUUGUGAGAGCAAGAGCCCGGAGAUGGAUUCUGAGACAUGAAUCCAGGCCCUACGGGGCGCAGCAGGCGCGAAAACUUUACAAUGCGGGAAACCGUGAUAAGGGGACACCGAGUGCCAGCAUCAUAUGCUGGCUGUCCAGAUGUGUAAAAUACAUCUGUUAGCAAGGGCCGGGCAAGACCGGUGCCAGCCGCCGCGGUAACACCGGCGGCCCGAGUGGUGAUCGUGAUUAUUGGGUCUAAAGGGUCCGUAGCCGGUUUGGUCAGUCCUCC
rnacentral:rRNA from 1 species